rnacentral:rRNA from 1 species
UACGGAGGGGGCUAGCGUUAAUCGGAAUUACUGGGCGUAAAGCGUGCGUAGACGGUUAUUUAAGUCGGGUGUGAAAGCCCCGGGCUCAACCUGGGAAUUGCAUUCGAGACUGAAUAGCUAGGGUGCGGAAGAGGGAAGCGGAAUUUCCGGUGUAGCGGUGAAAUGCGUAGAUAUCGGAAGGAACACCAGUGGCGAAAGCGGCUUCCUGGUCCAGCACCGACGUUCAGGCACGAAAGCGUGGGGAGCAAACAGG